rnacentral:rRNA from 1 species
AGUGAACGCUGGCGGUAGGCCUAACACAUGCAAGUCGAACGGCAGCACAGUAAGAGCUUGCUCUUACGGGUGGCGAGUGGCGGACGGGUGAGGAAUACAUCGGAAUCUACUUUUUCGUGGGGGAUAACGUAGGGAAACUUACGCUAAUACCGCAUACGACCUACGGGUGAAAGCAGGGGAUCUUCGGACCUUGCGCGAUUGAAUGAGCCGAUGUCGGAUUAGCUAGUUGGCGGGGUAAAGGCCCACCAAGGCGACGAUCCGUAGCUGGUCUGAGAGGAUGAUCAGCCACACUGGAACUGAGACACGGUCCAGACCCCUACGGGAGGCAGCAGUGGGGAAUAUUGGACAAUGGGCGCAAGCCUGAUCCAGCCAUACCGCGUGGGUGAAGAAGGCCUUCGGGUUGUAAAGCCCUUUUGUUGGGAAAGAAAAGCAGCAGGUUAAUACCCCGCUGUUCUGACGGUACCCAAAGAAUAAGCACCGGCUAACUGCGU